AUCACCUAGGGAUCUUGUUAAAUGCAGAUUCUGAUUCAAUAGGAAUGAAUUCUGCAUUUCUAACAAAAUCCCAGGUGAUUCCAA
rnacentral:pre_miRNA from 1 species